UACCAUUCCCCUUCCACGCGUCUGAUUCUCGGGAGAUCGUUGGCGCCGCCGCAUUUGUUUUCACAUCGAUCUUUUUGUUCCAGCAGUGUACCGCCCAUGGAGGUCACCGAAAAAAUACCGGUGAGGGUGAAGAGGAUUCGGUUUGCGGACUCGCAAAAUGAGUGUGAGGUCAUGUUGCAGCAAACCCUGGCCAACGACGGGCAAUAUUCAUCAAUGUCGUCUGGCGAUGAUGCACAGAGAAAGCCCAAAUGGAGACGAUACACAUCAUCGUAUGGCAACGGCGAAGCAGACAAUGACGCUAACUGAACGAUUGUUCGCUCAACCAUACUUCACCAGUUAAUCUUCAGUCAGUAUAACCAGGUCGUGUCGCUACACCUAGAGAUCAAAAAGUUUCGAGUUCAUACGGCAGAUGAUCAUUCGCAUAAUAGCUGCAAACAAAAACAAACUGACUAUAUUGUGUGUUUUCUGUAGAAUAUCUAAUGUGUCGUAAACAUCUGAAAGCAAUGUCUGAACCCAACACAUAUUACGCGUGCGCGCGGUAACAAUUAGAUUUCUCUGUCUUUUGUUAUGCAAGAUGAAUGUAUAUAUUUUUUAUAAACUUUAUAUUA